rnacentral:rRNA from 1 species
CGCUUAGGCGUGUGACUGCGUACCUUUUGUAUAAUGGGUCAGCGACUUAUAUUCUGUAGCAAGGUUAACCGAAUAGGGGAGCCGAAGGGAAACCGAGUCUUAACUGGGCGUUAAGUUGCAGGGUAUAGACCCGAAACCCGGUGAUCUAGCCAUGGGCAGGUUGAAGGUUGGGUAACACUAACUGGAGGACCGAACCGACUAAUGUUGAAAAAUUAGCGGAUGACUUGUGGCUGGGGGUGAAAGGCCAAUCAAACCGGGAGAUAGCUGGUUCUCCCCGAAAGCUAUUUAGGUAGCGCCUCGUGAAUUCAUCUCCGGGGGUAGAGCACUGUUUCGGCAAGGGGGUCAUCCCGACUUACCAACCCGAUGCAAACUGCGAAUACCGGAGAAUGUUAUCACGGGAGACACACGGCGGGUGCUAACGUCCGUCGUGAAGAGGGAAACAACCCAGACCGCCAGCUAAGGUCCCAAAGUCAUGGUUAAGUGGGAAACGAUGUGGGAAGGCCCAGACAGCCAGGAUGUUGGCUUAGAAGCAGCCAUCAUUUAAAGAAAGCGUAAUAGCUCACUGGUCGAGUCGGCCUGCGCGGAAGAUGUAACGGGGCUAAACCAUGCAC